ACACAUAUUCCUACUCUCUGAGCAAAACAAGACUCCACUCUAGGCCAAGCGGUCCACCCUGUCAAUGCCGACAAGACGGGCACUUGAUGUCGUUACUUCUUAACUAACGAGCACACAUCCACUGUCAUCGAAAACAACGGCUUGCUGACAGGUAUGGUUGUUCAUCUUGCUGCCGCCCAGAGGGGGAGCCUCUCCAGGACACAGCGUAUUGAUUUGAAAUAUCCUGGUAAACUGGUAUGAGCCACAGGAUUCUAGCCAUUAAAUAAUAAAUUGUAAUAUAAAAUGAAUGAGUGCCAAUAGCCUCUGAUAUUCGUUGACUAGCCAGCAUCCAAAGGCCUCUUCUCUGACAUGUAUUUUGGGCGGCUACUGCGAGAAACCGAACACCAUGAUGGAGACCAAAAAUAAGUAUGCUAGGCCAGGCCAAACCUAUUCAAAGCGAUGAUUGGUGAAUGCACCUGGUCCAUUUAGACAGCUCCAGGGGUUGUCUAAUCAGACAGGUUCCAAUGACCGAUCGGAAUCAUAUUCCGUUCCAAAAAAAAAAAAAAAAAGGCUG
rnacentral:sRNA from 1 species